CCUACGGGCGGCAGCAGUGAGGAAUAUUGGUCAAUGGGCGGGAGCCUGAACCAGCCAAGCAGCGUGAAGGAAGACGGCGCCAGGGGUUGUAAACUUCUUUUGUCGGGGAAUAAAGCGCGCCACGCGUGGCGUUGUGCGUGUACUUGAAGAAUAAGCAUCGGCUAACUCCGUGCCAGCAGCCGCGGUAAUACGGAGGAUGCGAGCGUUAUCCGGAUUUAUUGGGUUUAAAGGGAGCGUAGGCGGUCCUGAAAGUCAGCGGUAAAAGCUUGGGGCUCAACCGCGACGAGCCGUUGAAACUGGCAGACUAGAGCAGACGUGAGGUACGCGGAAUGCGCGGUGUAGCGGUGAAAUGCUUAGAUAUCACGAAGAACUCCGAUUGCGAAGGCAGCGUAC
rnacentral:rRNA from 1 species